AUGUGGAGGCUAUAUACAGGGUAUUACGGUACAGAGUCAAUGUGGAGGCUAUAUACAGGGUAUUACGGUACCGAGUCAAUGUGGAGACUAUAUACAGGGUAUUACGGUACAGAGUCAAUGUGGAGGCUAUAUACAGGGUAUUACGGUACAGAGUCAAUGUGGAGGCUAUAUACAGGGUAUUACGGUACAGAGUCAAUGUGGAGGCUAUAUACAGGGGGUACUGGUACAGAGUCAAUGUGGAGGCUAUAUACAGGGGGUACCGGUACAGAGUCAAUGUGGAGGCUAUAUACAGGGUAUUACGGUACAGAGUCAAUGUGGAGGCUAUAUACAGGGGGUUACGGUACAGAGUCAAUGUGGAGGCUAUAUACAGGGUGUUACGGUACAGAGUCAAUGUGGAGGCUAUAUACAGGGUGUUACGGUACAGAGUCAAUGUGGAGGCUAUAUACAGGGUAUUACGGUACAGAGUCAAUGUGGAGGCUAUAUACAGGGGGUACUGGUACAGAGUCAAUGUGGAGGCUAUAUACAGGGUAUUACGGUACCGAGUCAAUGUGGAGACUAUAUACAGGGUAUUACGGUACAGAGUCAAUGUGGAGGCUAUAUACAGGGUAUUACGGUACAGAGUCAAUGUGGAGGCUAUAUACAGGGUAUUACGGUACAGAGUCAAUGUGGAGGCUAUAUACAGGGUAUUACGGUACAGAGUCAAUGUGGAGGCUAUAUACAGGGGGUACUGGUACAGAGUCAAUGUGGAGGCUAUAUACAGGGUGUUACGGUACAGAGUCAAUGUGGAGGCUAUAUACAGGGUAUUACGGUACAGAGUCAAUGUGGAGGCUAUAUACAGGGGGUACUGGUACAGAGUCAAUGUGGAGGCUAUAUACAGGGUAUUACGGUACAGAGUCAAUGUGGAGGCUAUAUACAGGGUAUUACGGUACAGAGUCAAUGUGGAGGCUAUAUACAGGGUAUUACGGUACAGAGUCAAUGUGGAGGCUAUAUACAGGGUAUUACGGUACAGAGUCAAUGUGGAGGCUAUAUACAGGGUAUUACGGUACAGAGUCAAUGUGGAGGCUAUAUACAGGGUAUUACGGUACAGAGUCAAUGUGGAGGCUAUAUACAGGGUAUUACGGUACAGAGUCAAUGUGGAGGCUAUAUACAGGGGGUACUGGUACAGAGUCAAUGUGGAGGCUAUAUACAGGGUGUUACGGUACAGAGUCAAUGUGGAGGCUAUAUACAGGGUAUUACGGUACAGAGUCAAUGUGGAGGCUAUAUACAGGGGGUACUGGUACAGAGUCAAUGUGGAGGCUAUAUACAGGGUAUUACGGUACAGAGUCAAUGUGGAGGCUAUAUACAGGGUAUUACGGUACAGAGUCAAUGUGGAGGCUAUAUACAGGGUAUUACGGUACAGAGUCAAUGUGGAGGCUAUAUACAGGGUAUUACGGUACAGAGUCAAUGUGGAGGCUAUAUACAGGGGGUACCGGUACAGAGUCAAUGUGGAGGCUAUAUACAGGGUAUUACGGUACAGAGUCAAUGUGGAGGCUAUAUACAGGGGGUUACGGUACAGAGUCAAUGUGGAGGCUAUAUACAGGGUGUUACGGUACAGAGUCAAUGUGGAGGCUAUAUACAGGGUAUUACGGUACAGAGUCAAUGUGGAGGCUAUAUACAGGGGGUACUGGUACAGAGUCAAUGUGGAGGCUAUAUACAGGGUAUUACGGUACAGAGUCAAUGUGGAGGCUAUAUACAGGGUAUUACGGUACAGAGUCAAUGUGGAGGCUAUAUACAGGGGGCACCGGUACAGAGUCAAUGUGGAGGCUAUAUACAGGGGGUACCGGUACAGAGUCAAUGUGGAGGCUAUAUACAGGGGUUACCGGUACAGAGUCAAUGAGCAGGGGGUACAGGUUAGUCGAGGUAAUAUGUACAGUUGAUGUCGGAUGUUAA
ensembl:lncRNA